ensembl:lncRNA
GUGACUCCACCCUAGGCUGGACUGAAAGGCACUCUCGUCCGGCCCUGUUGGGGAGGCAGGCAAAAGGAUCCAGGAUUGGGGUGGGGGAGCCCUGAUGCUAAGGAUGCUGGGAGGAGAGAGUCCCCACCUCUCAGGGGGCUGACACUUGAGCCUGGUGUGGAAGGAUUUGUAGGCACUCUGCUGGCCUGGAGGAAAGGAGAGGCCGUGCGAGACAGGGAGGUCCCAGACAGAGCACUUCUUCAAGAGCAGAUCGACCCUGCUGUGGUCCCCAGCUCCAGGCAGACAGACCUUUGAAUGAGUGACCCACCCACCAACCUCUGAGGGGUGCUUUGGAGACGCCCCCACUCUACAAGUGAGGAAGCAGGAAGACAUCACCGGAGGAAUCAUCUGCUAGUGUGUGGCAGGCCUGGGAUUCAGACUCGAUGCUCUCAUCUCCAGGGCUCAAAGCUGUAAUUGCCACGCUCCCCUGCCUUCCAGGAGAAAUGACAGCGGUUACAGAGGCCGGGCCUUGUGGACAACCACUGGCCCUUGCAAAGCUCUCAGCCGGCGGCCAUCAGCACGGCAAGACGUGUUGGGCUCAGGCCGGCCACUACAUCACCCCGGAUUUUCACUUCACUUCAUGGCUCCAAGCGAGGCUCACCCCAUCCCUCCACAGAGCAGGAAGCCCCCAGAGAGGUGCUGUGUCAUCGACCCAGCUCAGUACCCCUCUCCCCACACGUACCCACUUCCCCACUGCUCCCCUUGCCAGCUCCCAGCCCCCUCCCAGGGGCAGGGGAGCAAAUGGAAUGAUGCCUGUAAUGUGCGUAGGGUAGUGCCUGGUAUAUAAAUGCUGCUCAGAAGGUUGAGGCUAUCAAAGCUAUUGUCAUCGUUCUUAUUCACACUUAUUGUCCGCCCAGGUGGCAAAGACAGAUGGAGAAGGACAAGGUCACAAACUGGGUUCCAGUCCCAGCUCUGUCUCUGCCGGCUGUGUGACUCUGGAGAAGUCACGCCACCUCUCUGCGCCCCAGCAUCCUCACCUGUACAGCGAGAAUAAAAGUCCUCACCUCCAAGCGUUGUUGGAGGGACUGGAUGAGGAAACACGUAUGAAGCUGCCUAGUUACUGGUUGAAAUUAACAACAAACAAGCGAGUGUCUCCCGCUGCCAAGCUGCUCCCCGACUUCUGUGGAACAUGUCACAGCGAACGAUGCAGAUGAAAGCCCCUGGCACGCAGCAGGUGCUCGGGCAGUGUUCGAGCCUGAACAGACAAGCCGCGUGCUGUCUAAGAUGUACUGCUGUUGCACUUUUGCACGCAUAUCUAUGUGGUUCCAUCGAGAGCCUGGCUCACCUUGGCUCACCCACUUGUGCGGCGUUUGUGCUUUUGUUCAGGUGAUCGUUUAGGAAAGGGGCCCAGCUUAUCUCCCAGGUGCGAUGUGGUCCCUCCCAGGCCUUGCCUUGCAGGGGCAGGACCUGCCUGUCAGCAACAGCCCCAAAACAAACCUCAGAGGAGCCCCAGGCAUCCUCCUGGGCUGGGUUUACAAAGCUUGUGGUGUUCUCUUGGCUUGUUUACUUGGUUUAUAAUCUCCCAGCUUCUCUGCCUCCUCUGCCUCCCCUCCCUGUGUGGGAUGGCAUGGGAGAAGGGAGGACGUUUGUCAUCAGCUUGCCUCUGUCCCUGAUCUGCUGGAAUCUUCCCAGAAGGUAGCUGGCCGCCUGUCUGAUAGAAGUUUCCUACUUGAACAGAAGGAGACACUGAGACCAAACAGAACCACAGUUCAUAAGAGGCCAAAGCAGCACACAGACCUGGGGCUUCUGAUCCCAGCCCAGCUCUCUCUGCUCAAUUCCCCAGGACUUCCCUGGUGGUCCCGUGCUUGGGGCUUCGCCUUCCAACGCAGAGGGUGUGGGUUCAGUCCCUGUCGGGGAGCUAGGAUCCUACAUAUCCUGCAGCCUAAAAACCAAGGCCUAAAACAGAGGCAAUGUUGUAGCAAAUUCAAUAAAGACUUUGAAAUGGUCCACAUUGAAAACAAAAUGUUUUUUAAAUUUUUAAAAAAUAAAUUCCCUGCCUCUGCAGAGAGAUGACCAGCUGGGGUCAGAGGUAGCGGCUACGUGCCAUCUUCCUUGAGUUACUCCUGGGUAGCAACCCCAUUGCUCUCAGUGGGAGAAGCUUCGACAAUUAACAUCUCCUGGGACCUGAGUCCCAACAGUCAGUGCUGAACCAUGGUGGGGGUGAUGGGGAACAGAAGUUGCUGGCCGGACUCUCUUUCCCCAAGGAAUCAAAUGGGAGCAAAUGGGCUUUAACCGGGACAAAGCCAGAGUCUGGCCGCUUCACUCCAUCACCCCAUUGCCACUGGCACCCUGGGUUGAGCCCCCAUCGCCUGGACAGCUGCCGGAGCCUCUGGACUGUCUCCUCUGCCACCAGCCCUCUACCUACAGCGUAUUCUCUGCAGCAACCACUGGCACCUUUGGAAACAGAAGGCAGAGGACACCCUUCCUCUGCUCAGACCCUGCGGUGGCCCACACUGGUGCAGGAGAAAGCCCCAAGCCUGCCGUGGCUGUGUGACUCCCUCUGCGGCUUCAUCACCCACCCUCCCUUCCCUGCUCUGCUCUGGCCCCACUGGCCUCCUUCUGCUCCUUCACUGGCCAUGCACACUCCUGACCUGGACCUCUGCCAUAGGUCUAUCCAUGUCUCUGCAAAUG